rnacentral:tRNA from 1 species
GGAGAUAAAACAUUAAAAUGUACCUAAUUUCGGCCUAGGCUAUGAGGAAAAUUCCUCUAUCUCCU